GGAAGGAGAAGUCGUAACAAGGUUUUUGCCUGGUCCUUCUCGCAACCCCUCUCGGCAAUGAGGUGGUUCGAGACGUUCGGAAGCCUGAGUGGAGAUCGCUUCGGAGCGAGAUUCGCUAGUGUCGAAGCUCACGAGUUUCGAUGCGACGUCGUUAAAUUGCGGGAAACGUUCGUUCAAAGAGUGGAAUACCAAGCGUGGAGCCUCUCUCACAAGCAGAGAGCCUUAGCGUGGCCGAGCCAACGAGCUCGGGUAAGGUAAAAACUUUCACUCUCGUGGACCAACCCGCAGCCAAGCCACGGACAGAAAAUCCGUGGUGGUGUUCACAGACUAAAUAACGACGGGCCUCCUCCAAGGGGGGGAGAGGCUCAAGAUAUAGUCGAUCCCGCCUUAGGGUGGGACAUGAGAUCCCCCUUCCCGCACGAGAUUUCACCGUUCCGUAGGUGAACCUGCGGAAGGAUCAUUG
rnacentral:rRNA from 1 species